GCCACCCUGCUGUGUGCGUCAGUGCCGCUUGAUAUGAUCCAACACAUUUUAUUAGGGAGCCCGAUCUCCGUGAGGCCGGAUUGCAGACCUCCCAUCCCACCGGGGUGGAAGAAGGGAGCGUGAAAGCCCGGGAGGCUACCCACCUGUCACACAAGACGGGUUUUAUUGGCGGCACAACGGCAUGGCGGGGGUGUU
rnacentral:other from 1 species